UACGUAGGGGGCAAGCGUUGUCCGGAAUCAUUGGGCGUAAAGCGCGUGUAGGCGGCCCGGUAAGUCCGCUGUGAAAGUCGGGGGCUCAACCCUCGAAUGCCGGUGGAUACUGUCGGGCUAGAGUGCGGAAGAGGCGAGUGGAAUUCCUGGUGUAGCGGUGAAAUGCGCAGAUAUCAGAAGGAACACCAAUUGCGAAGGCAGCUCGCUGGGACGUGACUGACGCUGAGACGCGAAAGCGUGGGGAGCAAACAGG
rnacentral:rRNA from 1 species